rnacentral:rRNA from 1 species
AGCAUUUGCUGUACCGCGUUGACGGAGCGAAGCGACGUCAAACCGAUAAAACAGCAGUGUAAAGUGAGCCGCAGGGCGCUUUGCGCGACAGCGCAAAGGCAGGCGGUUUCGCGUAGCGAAAGCGAAUGCUUUGGGGUGGGGUGACUGCGUACCUUUUGUAUAAUGGGUCAGCGACUUAUAUUCUGUAGCAAGGUUAACCGAAUAGGGGAGCCGGAGGGAAACCGAGUCUUAAUUGGGCGUUAAGUUGCAGGGUAUAGACCCGAAACCCGGUGAUCUAGCCAUGGGCAGGUUGAAGGUUGGGUAACACUAACUGGAGGACCGAACCGACUAAUGUUGAAAAAUUAGCGGAUGACCUGUGGCUGGGGGUGAAAGGCCAAUCAAACCGGGAGAUAGCUGGUUCUCCCCGAAAGCUAUUUAGGUAGCGCCUCGUGAAUUCAUCUCCGGGGGUAGAGCACUGUUUCGGCUAGGGGGCCAUCCCGGCUUACCAACCCGAUGCAAACUGCGAAUACCGGAGAAUGUUAUCACGGGAGACACACGGCGGGUGCUAACGUCCGUCGUGAAGAGGGAAACAACCCAGACCGCCAGCUAAGGUCCCAAAGUCAUGGUUAAGUGGGAAACGAUGUGGGAAGGCCCAGACAGCCAGGAUGUUGGCUUAGAAGCAGCCAUCAUUUAAAGAAAGCGUAAUAGCUCACUGGUCGAGUCGGCCUGCGCGGAAGAUGUAACGGGGCUAAACCAUGCACCGAAGCUGCGGCAGCGACACUGUGUGUUGUUGGGUAGGGGAGCGUUCUGUAAGCCUGUGAAGGUGUGUCGUGAGGCAUGCUGGAGGUAUCAGAAGUGCGAAUGCUGACAUAAGUAACGAUAAAGCGGGUGAAAAGCCCGCUCGCCGGAAGACCAAGGGUUCCUGUCCAACGUUAAUCGGGGCAGGGUGAGUCGACCCCUAAGGCGAGGCCGAAAGGCGUAGUCGAUGGGAAACGGGUUAAUAUUCCCGUACUUGGUGUUACUGCGAAGGGGGGACGGAGAAGGCUAUGUUGGCCGGGCGACGGUUGUCCCGGUUUAAGCGUGUAGGUGUGUGUUCCAGGUAAAUCCGGUUCACUUUAACACUGAGGCGUGACGACGAGGCACUACGGUGCUGAAGCAACAAAUGCCCUGCUUCCAGGAAAAGCCUCUAAGCAUCAGGUAACAUCAAAUCGUACCCCAAACCGACACAGGUGGUCAGGUAGAGAAUACCAAGGCGCUUGAGAGAACUCGGGUGAAGGAACUAGGCAAAAUGGUGCCGUAACUUCGGGAGAAGGCACGCUGACACGUAGGUGAAGUGAUUUACUCAUGGAGCUGAAGUCAGUCGAAGAUACCAGCUGGCUGCAACUGUUUAUUAAAAACACAGCACUGUGCAAACACGAAAGUGGACGUAUACGGUGUGACGCCUGCCCGGUGCCGGAAGGUUAAUUGAUGGGGUCAGCGCAAGCGAAGCUCCUGAUCGAAGCCCCGGUAAACGGCGGCCGUAACUAUAACGGUCCUAAGGUAGCGAAAUUCCUUGUCGGGUAAGUUCCGACCUGCACGAAUGGCGUAAUGAUGGCCAGGCUGUCUCCACCCGAGACUCAGUGAAAUUGAACUCGCUGUGAAGAUGCAGUGUACCCGCGGCAAGACGGAAAGACCCCGUGAACCUUUACUAUAGCUUGACACUGAACAUUGAGCCUUGAUGUGUAGGAUAGGUGGGAGGCUUUGAAGUGUGGACGCCAGUCUGCAUGGAGCCGACCUUGAAAUACCACCCUUUAAUGUUUGAUGUUCUAACGUGGACCCGUUACCCGGGUUGCGGACAGUGUCUGGUGGGUAGUUUGACUGGGGCGGUCUCCUCCUAAAGAGUAACGGAGGAGCACG